AAGAACAUGUCUGUCGCCUGUGGUAUGAAGUGAAAAUGACACUCUACAGAAAAUGCCGAUGAAAUACUGCAACCUCUGGUUUUAAGUUAAUUUUAUUCGUCGGAAGUGGACAAGAUAAAACAACACAAUGUUGAAGCGGGAGAAUCUGAGGAAGAAUUUCCUCCGUGUGAAGCAAAUGGCGGAUCAGAAUUUGGGAAGGGCUGAGAAGUCUGAAGUCCUCUCUGAAGAUCUGCAGACAAUUGAAAAGAGGGUGGAACUGGUAAAAACUGUGGUGCAGAUAACAUCUAAGAAAGUGGCGGGCAGUUUACAGUCCUCCGCUGGCAUGGACGUGGAGAAGCGACUGAGAAAAUUACCGGAAACAAAUUUGGCACAUAGUUUAAUUGAAAAUGCUAGUUUGCUGGGAAAAGAGUCAGUCAUGGGGAACAUGUUCCAGAUGUGUGGAGAGUGUGAGAGUAAUCUGGCGUCUAAUGCCCUUCAGUAUGAAAUAGAUGUGGAGGCCAAGGUGUUGGGACCACUACAGGACAUGUUUGAUAAUGAUCUACCUGGUAUUGUUAAGUGCAAAAAACAGCUGAGCAAAUUGACACUUGACAUGGAUUCUGCUAGGAGCAGAUGGAACACAGCUUUGAAAUCAACUCAAGUCCACGGAACAAAUAUGGCAUCUGCUUCUGCCAAAGCUGACACAAUCAGGGAGGAGUAUGAGGACACUGUGACAAGGAUGGGCCAAGCCAGAGACAAUCUGGCUACAGAAAUGUAUAACUUCAUUUCAAAAGAAGCAGAGCACAGUCAAAAACUGGUAGUGUUAAUGGAGGUCCAGGCAGAGUACCAUAGAAGGGCACUGGAGAUCGUCAAGAAGAUGUUACCCAAGAUGAAGGAAGCACUAGAAUGUAAUCCACACAAGCCUGUGUUUGGGACGACAUUGGACGAGCAUUUACGAGUAACGGGACGAGAUAUCGCCCUACCUAUAGAGGCCUGUGUGCUCACACUGUUAGAAACAGGCCUUGAUGAAGAGGGAUUAUUUAGAAUAGCAGGAAUGGCUUCUCGAGUGAAGAAAUUAAAAAAAUCUUUUGAUGCUGGUGUGAUCGAUAUGGAGGAUUACAGUAUGGACCCUCACUCUGUAGCAGGUGUAUUGAAACAGUUCCUUAGGGAGAUGGCUGAACCUCUACUGACUUACCAGCUGUACCAGGAAUUCCUACAAGCAGCACAGCUGCCCCAGGACCACAGACUGCAGGCUUUGUGGACUUCCAUACAUAACCUUCCUGCACACAACUACAAUAAUUUUAGGUAUCUUAUAAAGUUUCUGGCCCUUUUAGCUUCAAAGAGUGAUUUGAACAAGAUGACAUCAAGUAACAUAGCAAUUGUGAUAGGACCGAACCUGUUAUGGUCCGAGGGAGAUAAUGGGCCCAACAUGCUGACCAGUGGGACCAUCAGUAACCUGAUAGAGUCCAUCAUUUCUCAUGCCAGCUGGUUUUUCCCUGAAGCUAUAGAUUUUCAACAAACUACAAGGGGAACAGCUCCUCCCAGAAAACAGAAGAAUUCAGAAGAGACAAGCACUGAGCCUGUUACUGUGCCCCAGCGGUCGAACACACCCUCACAGUCCUCCGGGGGGAGGGGCUGUGACACUGCAUACAUGACCGCCUCAGGGGGGAUCUCCUCCCGGGGCUCUGACACUUCCUCCCAAGGCUGCCUGUCCAGUGGGGGCAGUAAUGAGGUGAUAGCUGAGAGUACCUCCCCCUCAUUUCACUCGGUUUCAAGUACGGAAGAUGACAUUGUUCAUAGCAACGACAUGAUGUGUCAAGGUGAAGGUUAUCAGACCGUGUAUGCUAGUGGUCGUAGACAAGUGGGUGCACUGCCACCACAGAGUAGCUUCUCCUCUGUUCGUUUGUAUACUAACCCACCAGCAUUACGAUUUAACCCACAGGAUAUAGCCAAGUCAUCGCCACGCUCCGACAGUAAUUCUAGUCGCUCCUCCACUCCCCCGACCCCAAAGUCGGGAGGCAGUGUUCACUCGGAUGUGUACAGCACUGUGUUCGCUUUACAUUCUUUGGGUGAUGGGAACAGUAAUAAGGGGCCUUCUGAGUACCUCAGCAAAGUGCGGGCAUUAUGGGAUGGCCACAUGCAGUACAACAAGCGCCCCCUAUCCACUGGUGGCAUAACUAACCCUAUCGGAGGUGGCAGCAGGGUAACUGAUUACCAGAGGCGUUCCCUUGGGCAAGAGGUGGACUUUGGUAACUAUGCACUGUAUGCCUCAAGCAAUGAGGGAGGUCUGUUGGAGGGUGCAGAACCUUCGUCGGACCAUGAGGGCUCCUUUUCCUCAGGAAACCAGGUGUCAAGUACGACUGGGAGUCAACAAGUUAGCCUGACAUCACUUCACUCUACGAACAUGAACACCAGCACAUCCCCCACGAGCAGUACAGAAGACACCACCUCUGUGGGCUUAGCCGCACCCUUAGCUGAGAGUGAACAAACCAGCCCCAAAAUCCAGCAGCGUGUGACAAGAAAGCCAGCCCCUCCUCCCCCACCUAACAGACCAUUCUCUGUGGCAGUAACAGCCUCAGUGGCCAAACCGGUCCAAUACCAGACUUGGCCUCGGCAAGGUGGGGGCACAGAGGCAGGGAGUCCUGGUGGGGAGGAGUCGACUGACCAAGUCAAGGCUCCCCCUGAGAGGCCAUCCUUUCCUCCAGAGAAACCAAGCCAUGCCCCGCACCGGUCAUCUACCAUAUCUCACAGUCACGCGGACCGCCCUUCGAUGCCCCCGCCAGAUCGACCAAAGGUACCACCCCCAGUGGCUCCCAUGCACCAGCGGUCAGCAUCAACAGGAAGUCCUAACUCAAUAUUAGUUACAACUCUAGGGGACAGCCCUUCCCCACAGAAUGGACAAGGUAGUUUGUCAUCCUCCAAAGCUGCACAAGACUUGACAUCAAUAGGUGAUCAUCCACAGAUAUCUACUUCACAGGGGCCCGGUCCCUUACUAACCUCCCAGUAUAACCAGCUUCCGCAGCCUGUAGAGCCAACGCCUAUCUCUAAUCGCUUGAGUUACCAAGGGUCUGCACGCCCUGUGCCUGCCCGCCCUUCUCCUCCACUCCCCAUGGCUUCCAAUGAAACGACUGAGGACACCAAACUCUAAGCAUUUGCCCUUGUUCCACUGACCUUGCCCUCUAUUAUUUCAGAGCACUGGUUAAAUAGCAUGACUAACUUUUUGAUUGUUGUUUUGGUCUUAACUUCGCAUCAAAAACAUUUUUUGCAUGUUGGUAUUGCUGCAUGUGGAGCCAGGCAGUGAUGAGGGGAGGGAGGAUGUGCCUCCUACUACAAGGUCAGACUGUCAGUUAGACCUCUGUUGGUAUGGCCAGUCUUGCCUGGUAAGGACGGCAAUGUAUAACAGCAUUUUACAGUAAAAAUUAACUUUACUAAAAGAAUGUUAGCACUUUUAGUAUUGUUCUGCUAAGAGUUGAUAAAAUCAGAGAGUGCAAGUCUGGUCUAAUAAGAGGAAUAGUAGAUAGUUAAUGCUAUACAUGUAAUUUGUAGUGUUACUGUCUCAGUACUCUCGCCGUGGUGUGGUAGACCGGUCAGUGUUGGUCAGUUUACUGUGCUAAGUUAGAGUUGUGACUUGUACCAUACAGUUACUGUGUUAUACAGGCAGUUAUCUCCCCUCACUCUCGCCGUGGUGUGAACACAGAUGAGACAAAGCGAAUUGUGAUACAGAUAAAUCAUUAGUGCUUACUUACUACAAUGUAAGGUGCUUAUGGUGUAUUAUUGUGGCUCAUAACCAAUUACAUAGUGUCUCACUACUGUCAGUUACUGUUUUACUAGUAUAAUCCUCUUAUUGUCAUAUAUCUACUAGGUGUACAGUAUAAUGUGACCUUAUAAACUAAUGGAUACAUAGUACUUUGUCAUCUUCGCUAACUUAAAUCAUAGUGCUUGUCUCUGUCUCAGUCCGUGAUAGGUGUAAAACAAAUCAAAAUGUCACCGUUAAUGAAUUGUUGAUAUGUCACUAUGGUAACAUCCUAACUAUUAUGAACAGGUGUUUUUUGUUUUAUACAUACAUAUAUAAUUUAUGUGAUAUUUUUCUAUAUCUGUAGCUUUCUUAGUUAUUGUUUUAGAUGUUUUAUUUCACCUCUUUUUCCCGUUCUGUUAGCCACUUACUCCUAAGGUCUCGGGACACAAUUACAGUAAUUGUGUGAUAAGCACAUUGUUAAUAGUCCUGUAGAAUUCUGACUGUUGCUUCUGCACUGUGAAUGUUGCUCAAACCUUUGACUUGAUACAGGUGUUUUUCUAGUGAUACAUUAGCUAUGUGAUUAGGUGUAUUUUCCUCGCUGCAUUUUACACAUUUCCCAUAUAGGUAUUUCUGAUGUUGUAAUUGUGAUAAAUGCAUCACAUUCUAUCAGAAAAAUCAAAAGUAUAGCACAUUUAUAGAAUCUUAAGAAUAUAUUUAUGAAAUAGAAAGAAUAUCUUUUAUGAAUAGAGUAUUAUAAUUUGUUUUGUUAUUAUAGAGCUCAAUGUUUCUUUACCUCAGUAUCGGCUACUUCUGUCCCAAUGUCUUAUCCUGGUGUGAUCUAUAUCAGAGUUGUCAAAGCUACAGAUUCACUCAUCAGUAAGGACAUACUGACGAAGGAAACGUUCCCACCAUGGUGUCCUGACUAUCUACCUUGAAAGCAGGAAUUGUUUUCAAAAAUGACACUCCAUAGCUUCGGUCUGCCUUACAUGGAGAUAGAUCUGUGAUCUUGGCCGCUGGUAGCCACCAUUUUGUUUGGCAUGUGAUAACCAUGUGACUGAAACCAUGUGAUCAGAUUGUAGCGAGCAAUGAACUGUUUGUGGGCAGAACUUUGAUUGUUUUUGUGGUGUGCAAUAUCUGUGAUGUCAUGUUAUAAACAUUAGGUCGUAUUCACAUACAGCAUAUUGGCACAAGGACUUGAAAAGGAAGCUAAACGAGGGGUUCCAUAUUUCAUAUGGGACCCCUGGAUAUUUCAAUAUCUUAUCACAUUUCAGUAUCUUAUAUCGGACACUUUUAACUCAUUAUCACUGUAGCCCGUUGGACUACCUUUGUAAGGUAUGAUCUACACUACAGACAGGUCACUCUGAAGGAGCGAGUAUUACCGGUAAACAUUUAGAUCUAGAAUAAAAUGUCCCGAUACAUACCGGUACAUAAAAAAAGUAUGAAAAAUGCUGUUGAAAUGGACUCAACUGCAUAUUUUUUGACUUUCCUAAAUUCUGUUGUUUACUGUGACAUGAAGUAAUACAAGUUCUGUGAGGCUAGCCCUGUGUUUAUGUGUACCUCGCAUGAUCAAUGUUUCCUGUGGUUUUUACUCAACACAUGUUUAUUUUAUAUUUUAUCACCAAGUUGAUAUACUUCUUCUGAAUUGGUUGGUAGGCAUGAACUGAAACAAAACUUGAAUGAACAAUUUAAAUCUAUCCCAACUAAUUACAGGGACAUAAUAUGAUUUACUAGUGGUAUAGAGUUGUAGGGUAAGGUUUUCUUUCAACCCUUGUGGUAUAGGGUUAUAGGUCAAUGUGAUCCUUCAACCUUGGUUUUCAGAUUUCAUUUAAUUAAUUCUACUAGGACCCUAGUGAUAUCAUUUGUAUCCUACGCCCCUAGAGUUAUACGGUUUAGGUUUAGGGGAUCCAUGACCUAGUGAUAUCAUUUAUAUCCUACGACCCUAGAGUUAUACGGUUUCGGUUUAGGGGAUCCAUGACCUAGUGAUAUAGGUUGUAUCCUACGACCCUAGAGUUAUACGGUUUAGGUUUAGGGGAUCCAUGACCUAGUGAUAUAGGUUGUAUCCUACGACCCUAGAUCUACAACCUUGGUGGAAUAAGGGUUUAGGUGAUCCUAGGACCCUAGCGAUGUAGGUUUAGGUGAUUCUACAACCUUGAUGGAAUAGGGGUUUAGGUGAUCCUACAACCUUGGUGGAAUAAGGGUUUAGGUGAUCCUACAACCUUGAUUGUUUAGGUGAUCCUAGGACCCUUAGAUAGUGAUAUAGGUUGAAGGUUUAGGUGAUUCUUCCAACCUAGUGGUAUAGGGUUGAAGGUUUAGGUGAUCUGAUGACCUUUGUUGUUUAGUGUUGUAGGAUUAGUUGAUCCUUCGAGCCUAAUUGUUAAUGUUAGUAGGUUUAAAUAAUCCUAUAAACCUGGUGUUGUAGGUUGUAGGUAUAGGUGAUCUUACCACCCUGUCACUCAGGAAUUGUGUUUUGUCCCUGUGUAAUAAUGAAUCUGAAUUUUGUUGAGUAUUAAGUGCUAAAAUGAAUGUGUAGAUAUUGUUUUGUUCUCAAGAGGAUAUAUAGAUAUGCUACCUGCACUGUACUAAAUAUAACAACUCCACACACACCCUCCCUGACUGGUAGCUGGGGCUUCUAACGGUACUGGACUCAACAAACUGCAUGUUACACCUUGAGGACAUACGGACGCCUUGUAACCCUUGACUGCCAUAUAACUAGCUAUUUAAGCAUCUACUUAAGGAGUUGUGUAAUGUUAAGUUUCUGUAAUAUAUGUCUGUGAGGUACAGUCAAACCUUGCAUUGCCACAAUGUCACAAGGGAACAUUUCGUUUAAUGGAGAUGGAAUGCUGUGAUGUACGUACAGCAGCAGUACCUGGUAGUUUCAUUUUGUUGAUAUUUAUCUGAAAAAGAAACACCCAAAUGGAAAUGGAAAAUCAGUUAAUUAAGAUUUGAAGUUGUUCUCUUUGGCACAUGCAGUCUAAAGGUGUUUCUUUUUUUUGUCUUUUUUUUUUUUAAUUCAGUGAUUGAACAGGUGAUGAUAAUAAUGAUCACUAUAACAGAUAACAGACCCCCAGACAGUGAAGGGUUACCAAGGAGACAUGAUACAAGGAACCUCUGGUGGGGUCCAGUUUAGGAACAUGUUGACAUUGUGUAUGUUGUGUGUGACUAGUGAUGGUACAUGUGAUGGUAUGAUAGUGUGUGUGACUUCAGUGACCAGUGUGUGAAGGGUAUACAAGAACCGUGUGACUGGUAUGGAAAAAUAACACUGCAAUACCAUUACCACAAUCAGAGGUGAAGAUCACUAACUUUGUAAUACAUUUGCUUGUACUGUAUAUGUUAUACUGAGAUAUCUUAUUUUGAAUUUCAAAUCAUUGCAAUAUUUUCCAUAUACAUGUAUUCAUGAACAUAUAAUUUUUUAUAAGAUUUUCAUUUGCAGUUAUCAGUUUCCUUUCCUAUUACAGUUAAAACAUUUGUCUUGUUAUAUAAUCAAUGUGUUCUUUCUCUACCCUGUGUUCAGGACCCUAAUACUGGGUAAGGUCAGUCAUUUAGUAAGUGAGACAUCGACAGGGAGGUAUAUUCAGUGAGUGUUUGUGCUUGGGUCUCUUAAAAUAUAAGACAUUGAAGUACAAUACCAUACUGAAAACCAGACUGCAAAUUUAGGUUUCAUAUAAUUAUUUGAUACAGAGCAGUCACAUCUGAUAAGAGAAAUCUUCUAAUAUCUUACCAAAAAAAUCAAAUGAUUAUUUACCCUUUCACCACUGUAGACUAUAAUAGACUCAUCCAGAUCAAUGCAUGGUAGAGUCUACUAAAGUUCCAAAGGGGUGAAAGGGUAAAGGUUCUUUUUAAAGUACUGACCUUAGAAUGAGACAAUUAGUGUCCAGAUAAUUUUUACGAAGAACUCUUUGUUUAUUGAUGUUAUAUAUAUUAAUGCUUGUUGUUGAUGUUGGACACUUAAUUUCAAACUUGUGAAUUUGUUGGAUUUGAGUAAUUUCAAAAGAUCAUUGAAGCUUUUAGAGAUGUGCCGAUAGAAUCAUGCAAUUGUUUUAUAUUCAUUCUUGUUAAACCGGUACUGCAAACUGCUGGCCACUAAAAUUGCUGUCAAUUAUAUUUAAGUGUUUAAUCCAUGUAGUCUUUAUUCAUUUUUUUUUUUGCAAUUACAUUACAUGUAAUUAUGUUUUUGUUAUUUGUUUUCAUAACAUAUUUAUCAUUAUUUUUUCAUUCAAAAUAACUGAGUAACGAUUAUGUACUUUGUACAGGAUACAUUUAACAUGAGUCAUGUUGAGUAACCAGUUUUGUAAGAUCAAUUACUGCUUGUACAGUGUUGGAGUAUAUUAUGAGAGUACAGGUGUAAUCUGGAAAGCUCAGUACAGUACAUAAAUGACUGCACACCAAGCAUUGUCAGUAGGAAUUGGUUUUUAAUGAACAAGUUUUGUAAAAACGAUCUUGUGCCAUUGCAUCAAUAAGUAUAAAAUGUUCCUUUGUAACGUUAGUCAUUAGCACUUGGCCAACGUGUGUAUCUAGGCCAUUUAACAUUGUUCCUAAGCAGUUUCUGACAUUAGCAGUGUCCGUGUAGGCUGACCUUUCUUGAAUAUCCUAAUAAUAUUUUGAGUGGGAAGAUGCCAUGGUCUAUAAGAUUAGCUGUCAAAUGUUUAUAUUCUACAGGAUUAGCUGUCAAAUGUUGUUAGAAAGUCAGGGAUUGGUUGUCCUAUGUAACACAGUCUAGGAUUGGUUGUCCUAUGUAACACAGUCUAGGAUUGGUUGUCCUAUGUAACACAGUCUAGGAUUGGUUGUCCUUUGUAACACAGUCUAGGAUUGGUUGUCCUAUGUAACACAGUCUAGGAUUGGUUGUCCUAUGUAACACAGUCUAGGAUUGGUUGUGAGAUGUUAGAUGGUCUAGGGUUGACUGUCAGAUAUUAAACACUCCAGGAUUGACAGUCAGAUGUGGUUAGUCCAGUAUUGGCUUCAUUUGCUAGACAGUCUAGGAUUGGCUACCGCAUAUAAGACAGUCCUGGACUUGUCAUGGUAAUUAUUAUAAGACAGUCAAUGAUUGAUUGUUGUAUGUAAGACAGUCAAUGAUUGGUUGUUGUAUGUAAGACAGUCAAUGAUUGGUUGUUGUAUGUAAGACAGUCAAUGAUUGGUUGAUGUGUGUAAGACAGCCCAGGAAUGGUUGUCAUAUGUAAGACAGUCAAUGAUUGGUUGAUGUAAGACAGCCCAGGAAUGGUUGUCAUAUCUAAGACAGUCAAUGAUUGGUUGAUGUAUGUAAGACAGUCAAUGAUUGGUUGAUGUAUGUAAGACAGUCCAGGAAUCAUUGUCGUAUGUAAGACAGUCAAGGAUUGGCUAUCACAUGUAUGAUAGUUCAGGACUGGUCAUGGUAUUGUAGGACAGACCAGGACUGGUCACAUGGUAUUGUAGGACAGUCCAGGACUGGUCAUGGUAUUGUAGGACAGCCCAGGACUGGUCAAGGUAUGAAAGACAGUCCAGGACUGGUCACAUGGUAUGUAAGAUAGUCCAGGACUGGCCAAGGUAUGUAAGAUAGCCCAGGACUGGUCAUGGUAUGUAGGACAGUCCAGGACUGGUCAAGGUAUGUAAGAUAGCACAAGACUGGUCAUGGUACGUAGGAUAGCCCAGGACUGGUCACAUGGUAUGUAGGACAGCCCAGGACUGGUCAAAUGGUAUGUAGGACAGCCCAGGACUUGUCAUGGUAUGUUAAAGACAGUCAAGGAUUUGGGUUUCCAUCAUCAUGGUGAACAGGUUUAUACACAAUAUCUCUGUGUAAAAAAUUACUGAUAGCCAAUUAAAUAUAAGACAUUCAAAGUCUGAUAUUUAAUUAAAUUAAGCUCCUUUAUAAUGACUGUCUCAAAUAUGGUAACAUCAAGCUAUGACAAAACUAGUGACCAAGGGCUAUUUGUGAAUGAGUGAUCUUUCCUAAUCAGUAACUAUUAUGCAUCUGUUUGUUGAUUGGAAUGAUUGACCAACAUGAAUUCAAUUCUUGAUUAGUAAAUCCUUUGUUUUGUAAUGCUUAUGCACUGACUGGCCACUAUAAUAAUAUAUUAGCUUACAGUCAUUAGAUGGUGGGCUGCAGAAUAUGCUUUUUAUCUUGGUCCUUAGUUUUGAGUGUUAAAUUUUGAGACUGAUAAAAAAAAGAAGAUGGCUGCAAUACAGACAUCGUUGAAUGUGACUUUUGAAGUCUGAUUAGCUAUUUCUCAGAAAUUGAAUUACAGAUUUUUUUCAAAUUUCACAAGAUUAGUUAAAAGGUUUAGCUUGUUCCCUUGUUCUGAAUAUGUUUUGUUCUGAGAUUUAAGUAGCUUAAUCAGAAGAAAAAUAUAACUACCAGAAAAAUCAGAGAACUCUCUUUUUACACAUCACUUAGUGAAUAUAUACUAUUACCACGUAAAUAAGUCAAACAACUACCUGACUUUAAGAGGACAUGCAGCGUCAAACAUAUCAAUAUGAAGUUGGCUCACAUUAGUUACAAGUUGCAUUGAUUGUUAAUAUGACUCAAUCCAGCAGAUAGAAAAAUAAACUUACAUAGGACCAAUGAAGAUCUUACAAAUGGUAGGUGUCAAGGAUAUGUCUCUCAGAAAGCAUGAAUAUCACGUUAUUAUACUGAAUUAAGUAUGUAAUCAAACUCAAUCUUCAUCAUUUAUAUCAACAUUGGAAUGUUCUGUAAUACUUAAAUCAAAUUAUGUAGUAUGGUCGUUCAGUUAUUAAACCAAAUAUGUAUAUCAUAAUUUCUCCAUCUGGGCUGUGUAACUUUAAGGCAUAUAUCACUCAGGUCAAGGUUGGUUGGUCGGAACAAAUCAGACAGGUUACAUAGGUUGUAAGACUUUGCUGUAGUCUUUCAUUUAGAGUGGAAAGUUUUUGGAGCUGAUUAUGGAAAACGAAAAGACACGGACUUGUAUCGUGAUGCCUGUAGGUAUUUCUAGCUUGUAUUGAGUAUAACGACUGCAUGUAUUUCUAGCUUGUGUUGAUUAUGAUGUCUGGGGGUGUUGACCAUGAUGCCUGGAGGUAUAUCUAGCUUGUGUUGGUCAUGAUGUCUGGGGGUGUUGACUAUGAUGCCUGGAGGUAUUUCUAGCUUGUGUUGAUCAUGAUGUCAGGGGGUGUUGACUAUGAUGCCUGGAGGUAUUUCUAGCUUGUGUUGAUUAUAAUGUCUGGGGGUGUUGACCAUGAUGCCUGGAGGUAUUUCUAGCUUGUGUUGAUCCUGAGGUCUGGAGAUGUUGACCAUGAUGCCUGGAGGUAUUUCUAGCUUGUGUUGAUCAUGAUGUCUGGGGGUGUUGACCAUGUUGUCUACCUAGCUUGUGAUCAUGAUAUCUCUAGAUUCUGUCAGUUAACAAUUAUAUAUGGUCCAACUUAUCCAACACAUGUACAAUGUAUGAGUGUUGAGUAGGUUUUUUUACCAUAUUUGAGACAAAGUAUUAUAUUAAAAAAAAAGAGUAAUAAAUUUGUACUGAUAUUCUCAUUAUUCAUUCUAAUCACACAAUGUUGCGGAUAUUUCUUUUUGACUGAUGAUGCAAUGUUACUGGGCACAUUAUGUCACAAUGCAUUGCUACAGAGAGUUUUUAUCCAUGGGCUAUUGUUAGCGCACCUUUUUAUAUCUCAAAGGGUAAAACAAUUGUUUCACAUCAAACAACAAGUAGGUAAGUAUGUUCAUCCUCACAAGUCAGGGACCCACAUAUAACACCAUCAUGCAGAGUUAGAUGUGGGACUCUUUAACUUAUGAGAAAUUUAUGGUGAAGCCAAAUUUUGUUUGCUGUCACUGUCAAUUAUUAAAGAAAAGGCUUGUAAAACAUGACUUUAACUAAUCGUUAAGAAAAAAGUGUUGUAGUGAUAUUGGUUUUGGCUAUUCUAAAAGCUGACAUGUUCAGUAGUGAAUAUAUUCAGAAUGUUAAACACAUCUUAUUUUGACAGGCCUGUGUAAUGCCAAUAAUUAAUUUGGUUUUUUUUGGUAAGCAGUGUUUUUCAUUUUUAUGCCUUGUCAACAUUCAUUAAAAUCAUUGUGUCAAUUAAGCAUAUGAACAAGCUAACUUGAGUAUGUACUAUUUCACUGAAGCCCUUUUAUGUUAUAAAGUAAUGUUACUGGGGACAUUUAGUGUUUUGUCUACCAGUAUUACCAGUUCUAAGAAUCAGUAUACAAAUGCAUGCAUUUCUGUAGAAGCAUUGUUUAUGUUUUUGUAAUCUUUUGUCAGUAGACUAAUGUUAUUAUGUAAUUUGUUAUUUUUAUGCCUUUUAUAAAGUAUGCUUUCAUCAUUCUUCAUUAUAUGUCUCCAACUACAAGCUUGACAUACUGGUAUAUAUGUACUAUCAAUCAAUAAGAUUAUUGAAAAAAUCACAUAUAGUGCAUUUUUCAAAGUGAAAAAUUAAAAAAAAUGUUUUAGAAUUAUA